AGUGAACGCUGGCGGUAGGCCUAACACAUGCAAGUCGAACGGCAGCACAGUAAGAGCUUGCUCUUACGGGUGGCGAGUGGCGGACGGGUGAGGAAUACAUCGGAAUCUACUUUUUCGUGGGGGAUAACGUAGGGAAACUUACGCUAAUACCGCAUACGACCUACGGGUGAAAGCAGGGGAUCUUCGGACCUUGCGCGAUUGAAUGAGCCGAUGUCGGAUUAGCUAGUUGGCGGGGUAAAGGCCCACCAAGGCGACGAUCCGUAGCUGGUCUGAGAGGAUGAUCAGCCACACUGGAACUGAGACACGGUCCAGACGCCUACGGGAGGCAGCAGUGGGGAAUAUUGGACAAUGGGCGAAAGCCUGAUCCAGCCAUACCGCGUGGGUGAAGAAGGCCUUCGGGUUGUAAAGCACUUUUGUUGGGAAAGAAAAGCAGCAGGUUAAUACCCCGCUGUUCUGACGGUACCCAAAGAAUAAGCAACGGCUAACCUCGUG
rnacentral:rRNA from 1 species